UCCUGCCCCUUAGCCAAAAAAAUAAGAGCACUCCUGCCCCAGUCCUCGCCGCCGGCGUCCAUGUCGUCGUUUCUCCACCGUCCCCCCCUCGUCCACACCCAAACCCCGACGCGGCGGAGGCGGCGCCAGAGCGCGAGACGGAGCGAGGCGAGUGGUCUCUCCACUCACCCACUCAGCUCUUGCGGCUCGCCUUUCCCCUCCCCUCCCCCGCGAGCCUGACGACCGGCUCAAAAUAGGAAAUGCGCUCCUCUCGGUCGGUCGGACCGUCGGACCGCGUGGCCGCUGCACAUGACAAGCUGGAAGAAACAGGUACUGGAUGAGCAUCUCCUUGUUCAAGUUGCAGAAUCAAUGUCUUUGAUAUUGUCAGAAUCAAGCCAUAUUCCAGAUUCUCCAUAUCAUUUGAAAUCUGGCUGCGAGCAGAAAUUUCACCCUUGAUACAAAUGGGCAUUUGGAGAUAGGCGCUAUCACCUGGAGCUUGCAUUCAAACUGUACCUGCAAGAAUACUACAUCCAGCUGCCUCGUCUCUCCACAUAAACAUCCAUAUCAGGUAAUCCGCAGCAUGAUGAAGAAUCCAUGCAGAUUUUGUAUUUUCAGCUGGGAAUAAAAGGUGAGGACAACUGGCUGCUACAUUUUUGUACCCUUUAAUUCCGCAUAAACUUCGGAAUAAGUGCUCCGUACUGUGCCAAAGCUUUUCUUUCACCUUUUCUAGUUAGCAUACGUGUCAACAUACAUGCAAGACAACAUUAGGCCUAUUAGUAUACAAAGAGCUUUGCAGAAGACAAGUUAUAUCUCGAAAAUUUCUACCCAAUCCCUUCAUACAAAGAAAGACCUUAAAGAAAGCAUGAUGUAUAAGGGUACCAUCAGUUUUGCAGAAAACAUAAGUGUAUGUACUACCAAGAGCUUGAGGAAAAAACAUUUAGGGAAACCGGCUAAGAGCAGGACCCUUAACCUAGUAUCUCUGUUAGUUAAGUGGUAUAAAUUAGAGUUUCUGAAGAAAUUUGUCGACCAAAGAGGGGGGCCACGGAUACCUUUGGCAUCAAGGGAGCUCUGCCCGUGGUACGAACCUGUUGUUGACAUUUGGAUAACUAGUCUGCACGUGUACUGAUACAAAAUUUCUUGCAGACAUGCUAAUGUACGAUGAGAUCACAACUAACUUUUUUUAAUGGAAUAUGCUCUAAAUAUCACAAUCUUGUUGGAAUAAAGGUACAGCGUUGCAGAUCAGAUGGGCAUCUCCACCAGGACCUUGCUAGCAGAAAGGCAAAAGAUCAACUUUAAAUUGCUGAAAGUUCUCGCAUGACAAUCACAAGGGAAAGGCACCAAGGAAUUUCCCCGCACCGCAAACUACCUACACCUGACUUUCGUGGAUGUACUCUCGCCAUGCAUGCCAGGCCUCUCCGCUGCGGCGCUGCCUAUGGUCCCUCUGAACUGUUUGAGGACCAGCUGGAAACAGCGCUAAAGUUCAUCUAAUCCAGGUCAGAGCUGAAUCUAUUCUAGUGGAGUGCAGUCUUAUCAUUUGGCAAUCCUGCAUCUACAAAUUACUGAUACAGCUUGCAGCAUAUAUACUGUUUGUCAUGAUGGGCUACAGUACCGGCAUGGCAGGCUGCAGUAGCAAAAUGGGCCAAGAACAGGAAAACAGAGCAAGUCAGUCCCAUAGUUGGCAACGGGGUGGCGGCUUGCUGAUUGGUGGGUCCAGAGUCCAGAGACUGGGUCGGCGUGGAUUGCACUCUGUUAUGUAGAACGGCAAUGACAAGUGGGCCUAAUAGUGGAGGAAUGAGACUGAUGUACUUUAUGUUCUCGAGUAACAAAAAGUGACCGUUAUUCUCUCCAGUCGCUUAUCUCUUUUGGGUUCUCCCUUCCCCCUUUUUUCUGUGCUGUGACGGCGAUCAUAUCUUAGGUGACGGGGACAUAACAUUGUUGCAGCAGCUUGUGCUGACCGUUGUGGCGCUAUGUAAUCUGUGCUAGAUUUUUACUCCCUUCGUUCCAAAAUAAAUGACUCAGCUUUGUACUAACUCAAAAUAGAUGACUCAGCUUUGUACUAACUUAAGAUAAGUUAAGUUAGUACAAAGCUGAGUCAUCUAUUUUGGAACGGAGGGAGUACUAUCUAAGAGCUUACAGGUUUGACAUCUGGCAUUGUUUUUUUUUUCUACAUCUCUAGUUUUUUUUCUAUAUCUCUAGCAUUGAUUUACUGGUUUCUCUAGCAAUCUCAGGUCAAUUAAUCCAGUGUGAAGACCAGAACAGUGUGAUAACACGCAGCAGCAAGAAUGGGUUGGUCAGAGCAAUUCAGGAAUCUGGUUAUCAAUACUGCUGUAUAUUUACUUAUCUUUCACCAGAGUAAAGAGGCAAGCCUAGCCGUUGAUUGGAUAUUUUGGAUGGAUCAGCGGUUCAGAGUGAAGGAAUUACUAUACACAUUCAUCUGCAGCUGUCAUAGAUGGAUGGGGUUCAAACAUGGACUCAGAUCUUCUUGACGGGUUUGAAUGAGGGAUGGGAUGAGAACAAGAGCUAAUUUGGACAAGAGGCCAACAUUUUCUACUAGCAUACACACCGCUAGCGUCCAUCUUAAUCCUAUUUCAGGGGCCUAGUUUUUGAAACUUCUGUGUAUCAUAUUUCAGGGCCCUGGUUUUUACGCCUUAUAUUUUCUUGAAUCUCAGUCGACCGAGACUUGGUUAUGUCUCAGUCGAUGCUAUAUUCGUGAGAUCUUGCAUGGAGAUUCGUGCAAAAAUUUAAUUUUAGUUUUUCUUUUUUCCUUUCUUAUAUGUUAUGUAUAGCCAUACAGUUUGUAAAAUGAACCCUGCUAUACAAACGAAAGUACAUAGACGAUUUCUGAACAA